AUGUCUGCAAUGCAAGGUGAAUUUGAGAAAGCCAGUAUGUUGGUUACCCAGGCAUUGUCCAUAUUGCCCAACAGUCCAGAAGCUACACUCACUGCAGUUUAUGUGGAUCUCUUGCUUGGUAAGCAACAGGAUGCUCUAGCCAAGCUAAAAAGUUGUAGCCUUAUUAGAUAUGCAGGUGAGGCAGCACUAAUAGAAUUCUAA